rnacentral:rRNA from 1 species
GGUGAGUAACACGUAGGUAAUCUGCCUUCAGGCCCGACAUAACCCCGCGAAAGCAGGGCUAAUAUCGGAUGAUGCAGCGGCUUGGCAUCUGGACAGUUGUUAAAGCUUCGGCGCCUGGAGAUGAGCCUGCGUCCCAUUAGGUAGUUGGCGGGGUAAUGGCCCACCAAGCCCACGAUGGGUAGCUGGUCUGAGAGGAUGAUCAGCCACACUGGAACUGAGACACGGUCCAGACUCCUACGGGAGGCAGCAGUAAGGAAUAUUGCUCAAUGGCCGAAAGGCUGAAGCAGCAACGCCGCGUGAAGGAUGGAGACCUUUUGGUUGUAAACUUCUGUAGAGAGGGAGAAAACCCCCGUUCUUCGGGGAUUGAUAGUACCUCUAAAGUAAGCCCCGGCUAACUACGUGCCAGCAGCCGCGGUAAUACGUAGGGGGCAAGCGUUGUGCGGAUUUACUGGGUGUAAAGGGUGCUCAGGUGGUUGUGUAAGUCAGGGGUGAAAUCCUGGAGCUUAACUCCGGAACUGCUCUUGAUACUACAUAGCUUGUGUACAGAAGAGGCUGAUGGAAUUCCUGGUGUAGCAGUGAAAUGCGUAGAUAUCAGGAAGAACACCAGUGGCGAAGGCGGUCAGCUGGUCUGUUACAGACACUAAAGCACGAAAGCGUGGGGAGCAAACAGGAUUAGAUACCCUGCUAGUCCACGCCCUAAACUAUGAAUACUAGACGUUGGGUGUAAAAACUCAGUGUCGGAGCUAACGCAUUAAGUAUUCCACCUGGGGAGUACGAUCGCAAGGUUG